CUUUGUGGGUUCUUGUGGUUUAUGGGUAUUUUGUAAAUUACAGUGUGGAUAUUAGGAAAUUGCCUGUUUUUGGCGAUCCUGUGAUAUGGGUUUGUGAGAAUUUAUCAUGUUCUCAUGAUUUUAGUUGGGGGUCAGUUGCUGGAUUUUCUUUUGGUGGGUAUGGAGUGCAUGUGGAGAUCUGUGCUUCAGUUUCUUGAUCUGCAAAUUAUGCUUUGUUGAUGGGCAGUAGAAGGUUUCCUUUAUGUUGUCUGCAUCUGUUAAGUGUUAGUGCUAUGUUUCUUAGCUAUCUACUUUGUGGGUUCUUGUGGUUUAUGGGUAUUUACUAUUUAUAUGCGGUAUGUAAUACGGAGUACUAUCUACUCCUGAGUUCUGGGUGCUGGUGAUGUAUGAGUAUCUUGUGAAGUUUUUGGUAAACCUAAGUUGUUAUCUACUCUGUGGGUUCUUGUGAUCUAUGGGUAUUUUGUGGAAUUAUGGUGUGGAUAUUGGAAAUUGACUGGUUUUGGAGAUCCUGUGGAAUGGGUUUGUGAGGAUAUAUCAUAUUGCUGUGAUUUUGGAGAGGGGUUAGUUGCUGGGUUUUUCUUUUGGUAGAUGUUGAGUAUAUAUGGAGAUCUGCACUUUGGUUUCUUGAUCUGCAAAUUAUGCUUUGUUGAUGGGCAGUAGAAAGGUUUCUGUUUAUGUUGUCUGCAUCUGGUGGAUAAACAUUUGUUACCUGGAUUAAUAUUCAGUUCGUGCAAAUGGAUCCAACGGCUGAAGAGCAAUUAGAUUAUGGAGAUGAGGAAUACGUAGGGGCUCAAAAGAUGCAGUAUCGUGGAUCUGGAACUAUUUCUGCUCUUGUAGAUGAUGAGAUAAUAGGUGAAGACGACGACUAUGAUGAUCUCUAUAAUGAUGUGAAUGUUGGAGAAGGUUUCUUGCAGCUGCAGCGUUCUGAGGCACCAUUGUCGGUAAGCAAGGGCGGACUCCAAGAACAGAAAACUAGUCUUCAUGAACCUAGAGCAGAAGUUGCAGUCUCACAACUGCCAAGUGCCCAUGGAGUUGGAACUGAAGGGAAGUAUCCGAUCUCUGGGACCCGUUUUCCUGAGCCAAAGGAGGGAUUGGCAGCUGAUAUGGGGCGAGUGGGAACCACUGAUGUUACUCAAACGGGAAGGGUUCAUGGGUUGAUGCACGAUGCCCAAACAGGAAAUUUGGGCUUUCAAGGAUCAAAUCCUAUGCCUCAGAAAAUUGGAGUUGAUACUGGUGGAAUCUCUGUAAGAGUUGCCACAGAGUCAGCUCCCCUGCUGAACUCUGCCACAGGAGGCCCUCGGGUUGUUCCACCGAAGCCAGAUAUGGGUGUAAAUGUGAAUGUUAACCGUGCAAUGGCUAAUAAUGAAAACCAGGUUCGGCCACCUAUAGAGAAUGGUUCCACCAUGCUCUUUGUGGGAGAGCUACAUUGGUGGACUACUGAUGCAGAGCUUGAGAGUGUGCUAUCUCAAUAUGGGAGGGUGAAGGAGAUCAAGUUCUUCGAUGAGAGAGCUAGUGGCAAAUCCAAAGGCUAUUGUCAAGUUGAAUUCUACGACACAUCUGCUGCAUCUGCAUGCAAAGAAGGAAUGAAUGGUUAUAAUUUUAAUGGGCGAGCUUGUGUGGUGGCAUUUGCUUCUCCGCAAACCAUCAGGCAGAUGGCUACUUCUUAUAUGAACAAAAACCAGCCUCAGACUCAGCCUCAGUCUCAGACUCAGCCACAGGGGAGGAGGCCAAUGAAUGAUGGUGCAGGGAGAGGUGGCGGGAUGAAUCAACCCAGUGGAGAUGGAGGGAGGAACUUUGGAAGAGGUGGAUGGGGACGAGGGCAGGGAGUACUCAAUAGAGGUCCUGGGGGUGGACCCAUGAGGGGAAGAGGUGGGCCUAUGGGAGGAAGGAACAUGGUUGGAAACACUUCUGGUUUUGGUAGUGGGCCCAUUGGAGGAGGAGCAUAUGGGCAAGGCCUUGGAGGCCCGGGUUUUGGUGGUUUGAUGCCUUCUCAAGGUAUGAUGGCUGCUGGAUUCGAUCCAACUUAUAUGGCUAGAGGAGCAGGCUAUGGAGGCUUUCCGGGUCCCACUUUCCCUGGGAUGCUUCCUUCGUUCCAAGCUGUUAAUCCGAUGGGACUUGCUGGGGUGGCUCCUCAUGUCAACCCGGCUUUCUUCGGCAGAGGAAUGGCGGCUAGCGGAAUGCAAAUGAUGGGGCCCACUGGGAUGGAUGGCCAUCAUGCAGGAAUGUGGACCGACACUAGCAUGGGUGGUGGGGGAGGGGAAGAACAUGGCGGCCGAAGGACAAGGGAAUCGAGUUAUGGUGGUGAUGACGGUGCUUCUGAAUAUGGAUAUGGUGAGGGAAGCUACGAGAAGGGAACUAGGUCAAAUGCUGGGUCCUGGGAAAAGGAAAGGGGUUCUGAGCGUGAUUGGUCAGGAAAUUCUGAGAAGAGGCAUCGUGAUGGGAGGGAGAUGGAAAGGGAUAGGUCCGACAGGAAUCACACAUAUAGAGAGGACAAGGAUGGUUACCGGCCAAGAGAGCGUGAUGAGGGCUAUGAUGAUGACUGGGAUAGAGGACAAUCUUCUUCAAGAUCACGGAGCAGGUCCAAAGCUAUUCCGGAGGAGGAUCAUAGGCGAUCGAGGGAUGGGGAUUAUGGAAAGCGGAGACGCCUUCCAUCAGAGUGAUGCUACAAAGUGCUUUAUUCUUCUUAUACAGGUCAUUUGGCACCUGGUCCUGAGGAUUCUCUAUUAACAUAUCUGGUCAUCAGAUUACUAGGGUGCAUCUAGCAUCGGUCUUUCUGAUUCUUAUGGCCCCACAUGCAGUUAAAGUAGCGAGUUGGCAACUUUCUGUUUUUUGAUUGAAUCAGCUUAUGUUGGUUCUCGAGGAAGAUGGGUAAAAUUGGCUGCUCUUCCCUGAAUUUCUCUGAAAAUCAUCGGUCUGCUAGUAUGCCAAAGAAGCCUUAAAACCAUAUCAUCAUUCUUUUCUCACUUCCUCAAAAAACAUUAAAUUAAAGUACCGUGCUCCUGGAAGAAAACAUUAAGUUCUUCAAUGCCUCCACAAUACCUUCCAGUCUGCUUGAAGAGUACUCUUUGGUCCCUUUUGUAAACCAAUUUUCUUGUAUUAUGUUUGCUAAAUAGCAACAUGUAAUUGGCUUGUCUCCAUUUUUUACGCGAGGCUUGCCAUUUCCUUUUUAAAGGUCUUGUACAAAAUUUGAGGACCAUUGUUGCUCAUAGUUGAUUUGUUGUAUCUGAUAAUGUUGAUUAUUUUCAAUAGGAGAGUUAGUUUGUAGAUUGUAUCAUGAGGUCACUGAUCCAUUUGUAAGUGGUCAUUGUAAGAUCUCAAGUUGGUGGUCUAUUAGUGUUGCUUUCUUCCAUGUACGGAGUAUGGACAAAGAAUAUCGGAUGUAUCUUAUUAUCAUGUAAAGUUCAAGAGGCAGUCCCAUAUAGGAGUUAAGUUGUUGUAUAUUACUACUUUACUGUAAUAGGCCAGAAGGGGAAGAGGAGGUGUCAUUUGCAGUUGUUUUCCUGAUAUAUGUUGUAAUAACUGUUUCUGGUGUAGUUUCUUUUUCCUUCCCCCUUUUGGUAGUGGGGUUUUGUGUAUCUGUUUAGGUGUGUUUCUCUUGUAAGAUCAUGUCACUAAGUUUUGACUCGAUUGAUAAAUGGAAUGUAGACUUUUGCAUACAA